UACGUAGGGUGCAAGCGUUGUCCGGAAUCAUUGGGCGUAAAGCGCGCGUAGGCGGCCCGGUAAGUCCGCUGUGAAAGUCAAAGGCUCAACCUUUGAAUGUCAGCGGAUACUGCCGGGCUAGAGUCCGGAAGAGGCGAGUGGAACUCCUGGUGUAGCGGUGGAAUGCGCAGAUAUCAGGAAGAACACCAACGGCGAAGGCAGCUCGCUGGGACGGAACUGACGCUAAGGCGCGAAAGCGUGGGGAGCGAACAGG
rnacentral:rRNA from 1 species